rnacentral:rRNA from 1 species
UUAAUGGAGAGUUUGAUCCUGGCUCAGAAUUAACGCUGGCAGAGUGCAUAACACAUGCAAGUCGAGCGAAGCUUGCAGCGUAUCGCAAGCUUAGCGGCAAACGAGUGAGUAACACGUAAGCAACCUGCCCUUGAAUGGCGAACAACCAGCCGAAAGGUUGGCUAAUACGCCGUAUAAUCCGAGAGGGGCAUCUUUCUCGGAUGAGAGGCCCGCAAGGGUCGUUCAAGGAGGGGCUUGCGGCCCAUCAGCUAGUUGGCGGUGUAAUGGACCACCAAGGCUAUGACGGGUACCCGGGCUGAAAGGCCGGACGGGCACGAUGGCACUGAGAUACGGGCCAUACUCCUACGGGAGGCAGCAGUGGGGAAUUUUGGACAAUGGGGGAAACCCUGAUCCAGCAACUCUGCGUGAGGGACGAAGUCUUUAGGGAUGUAAACCUCUUUUGUAUGGGACGAAAUCCCGCAAGGGUUUGACGGUACCAUGCGAAUAAGCCACGGCUAACUAUGUGCCAGCAGCCGCGGUAAGACAUAGGUGGCGAGCGUUAUUCGGAAUCACUAGGCGUAAAGCGAGUGUAGGCGGAUGCUUAAGUCCGGCGUGAAAUCUCCCGGCUCAACUGGGAGCGGCCGUCGGAAACUGUGCGUCUUGAGUUGGGUAGGGGGCAUCGGAAUUCCCGGUGUAGCGGUGAAAUGCGCAGAUAUCGGGAAGAACACCGGCGGCGAAGGCGGAUGCCUGGGCCUUAACUGACGCUAAGACUCGAAAGCUAGGGGAGCAAACAGGAUUAGAUACCCUGGUAGUCCUAGCUGUAAACG